rnacentral:ncRNA from 2 species
UUCUUAUCCAGAAAGACUGAGGGAAUUGACCCUAUGACGUCUUGGCAACCUGCCCCGCAUUAGCGGGAUAAGGUGCCACAUUCAACCAUGCUUUGGCAUGGAUAGAUAAGUU